GCGUUGAAAUAUCGGUUCGCGUACGAUCCCCGAAGUUAAGUAAGGUUGAGCCUGGUCUGUAUCUAGAUAGGAGACCACUUGUGAAUACCAGGUGCUGCAAGC